rnacentral:rRNA from 1 species
GACGAACGCUGUCGGCGUGCUUAACACAUGUAAGUCGAACGGACAGGCCCUGCUUUUGUGGGGUGCUCGCGUGGCGAACGGGUGAGUAACACGUGAGACACCUGCCCUUGACUUUGGGAUAACUUCAGGAAACUGGGGCUAAUACCGGUUAGGAGCUCCUGCUGCAUUGUGGGGGUUGGAAAGUUUCGGCGGUUGGGGAUGGACUCGCGGCUGAUCAGCUUGUUGGUGGGGUAGUGGCUUACCAAGGCUUUGACGGGUAGCCGGCCUGAGAGGGUGACCGGCCACAGUGCGACUGAGAUACGGCACAGACUCCUACGGGAGGCAGAAGUGGGGAAUAUUGCACAAGGGGCGGAAGCCUGAUGCAGCAACGCCGCGUGCGGGAUGACGGCCUUCGGGUUGUAAACCGCGUUCGCCUGUGACGAAGCGUGAGUGACGGUAAUGGGUAAAGAAGCACCGGCUAACUACGUG